CCAGGCCAAGGUACAGUGGACGGGUAAGUACCACUUGGAUAUGGCACGGACAACUACGGAGACAAGAGGGUCAAUCCGGGAAGAGACUACAAUAUGGCCUUUCCUCAAGACAAGCUCGAGCAGAGGUCAGAAGGGACCAGGUGUCGCAGUCCUCCUGAAAUAUGCUACUACUGUAUGGAAGUCAAUGUUACCUUCCUACCAUUACCA
rnacentral:lncRNA from 1 species